UCCAUCAUAACACCUGUUGAAAGUUCUGUUUUCAAACAUUUCUCCUCUUAGAGUUUGACUUUUUCGACGCAGUAGGAUACUGAAGUUUUCUGUAAUAGAAGCUCAAGUUCUCAGUGGUUAAGUGAGUUUACAUUUCAGCCGAAGAAGCAAAUUGUGGUUUAUUUCGAGUCAUGCAAACUUUAAUCUUCCAUUAGGAUAAGGAGCAGCUGGGCUGAGCACCUGGUGUGUAUGAAGCCACAGAUCCCUAUUUACUACUACUGCAGGGAGACAUCUCAGCCUCUCUUGCUGCAUCCCCAGCGUAAUAUCAAGCAUCACAUGGAAAGGUGGCAGUAGUGAGCGCAGGAACCCUGUGAUCUGCCUGCAAAGCCUGGAAAAAGAAGAGCACCAGGAACAUCCAAAGGUAUUUGGAGGGAAUGGACCCAUUCAAAAUGUUUGCUGGACCUCAUGAAAACAGACUACACAGUUUGGUGAGAGAGGCUGGACGUACACAGAAACUUUGCUUGUUCCCUUGAAGACUACACAGGAUAACUUUAAAAACCCCCACGCUAUGGUUUGCAGACCCCCAGGGGUCCCAGGACCCCACUUUGAGAACCACUGACUUAGACUACCUAAUUCAAUAGAGAAUUUACCUCAACAAGUCAGGACAGGACAGUGUGGCUCCCCAUGGCAGAACUGUUGACACCCGAUGAUCAGGCCCCAGCCUUAGGUCCUCGGUCCUCAGCCCUUCUGGUGGUUCUAUAGUAGAGACCUAAACCUGAAGGUUAAACCUCAGCCUUUUGAGAACCUGCCUGAGUAGAUCAGGUGUGCAGAAUCAAUGACAUCGCCAAACCAACUUCUAACAACUUACCUCAACAUGCCCUCAUGUGAUCCCGUCUUCCUAUUGCCUCUUUAUUCUCCUAUUUUAUUCUUAUAUUGUUUUAUUGCUCUCAUUUCUUUUAUAGUUCUUACUUAUUUUUACUGACUGUAUAUCUAUUUAUUGUUUUAAAGUCUUCUGAU